rnacentral:rRNA from 1 species
GCGGCAGCGCGGGGCAACUGGCGGCGAGCGGCGAACGGGUGAGUACAUAUCGGAACAUAUCUAUAGUGGGGGAUACGCAGCGAAAGCUGUGCUAUACGCAUGAGAUCGUAGAUGAAAGCGGGGCUCGCAAGACUCGCGCUANGGAGUGGCGAUUCAGAUUACUAGUUGGUGAGGUAAGGCUCACCAAGCGAUGAUCUGUAGCUGGUCUGAGAGGAUGAUCAGCCACACUGGAACUGAGACACGGUCCAGACUCCUACGGGAGGCAGCAGUGGGGAAUUUUGGACAAUGGGGGCAACCCUGAUCCAGCCAUUCCGCGUGAGUGAAGAAGGCCUUCGGGUUGUAAAGCUCUUUUGUCGGGGACGAAACGGUUUUGGUUAAUAACCAAGACUACUGACGAUACCCGAAGAAUAAGCACCGGCUAACUACGUGCCAGCAGCCGCGGUAAUACGUAGGGUGCGAGCGUUAAUCGGAAUUACUGGGCGUAAAGCGUGCGCAGGCGGUUUUGUAAGCCAGAUGUGAAAUCCCCGGGCUCAACCUGGGAAUGGCAUUUGGAACUGCAAGACUAGAGUAUGGCAGAGGAGAAUAGAAUUUCUGGUGUAGCAGUGAAAUGCGUAG